UAAACGGUCCUUUUCAGGGCCACCAUUUUUUUCAGAAAGAGUAAG
rnacentral:ncRNA from 1 species